AGCGCAGCGCCCGCCGCCCCUCGCCGCGGCCCGUCCCGCCUGCGCUGGCGUUGCUCUCGUUCCUGCCGCGGUGGCAGCCCGGGGGGCAGUCGGAGGACGGCGUAAAGCCGGAGGGGAAGGGUCCAGAGCUGCCGUGCUUGUUAUCUAAUUGAACAUUCAAAGUAAAUAUGAGCUCUAUAAGCUUUCAAAACCAAAUGAAUCUGUGAAAACAAGGAGUGACCAAAGGAGAAGUAAGGGACAGGGAAUAAAAUGAAAAGGUUUGCCUUUAAAAAUCAGCUUGUUCACUCCAAGGACUGCAGAGAUGAGCGCAUCUUCACUACAGCAACAUGGGGGUGAGUCACUGGUUUCAAUGCAAAACGCAGCUCGGGGGCUGCAGCGAGAGCUCGGCGGUGACUUACAUCCAGCACACACCUGCCCCCAAACGAGCCUCAGCAGAGCAGCUGGGAUGAGCUUCAGGACCCAGCGACGGUUUGGGGAUCAGGAGACAUGGGUUCCCAUCCGAGCACGCUCAGAGGUCCUCCGUAAGGGGCACUUUGAAGACAACCUGGAUCAAAUCCCAACAUACUUUGGGGAGGACAAACGUAGACCUUUCUUUACUUAGCUCUGUGUUGGGCAAUCUCAAAACCAUAUAGGCACUAAUCUAUUCGUUAUUCCGUCUCCUCCUCUUUACUACAAUAAAGCACUGUUUUAUGCUUAUAUGCAUCAAUAAAGAGACCUAUAAAGAAAAUAAUGAACACCCUUUAAUAUCCUCAGAGUAUACCCUAUUAAUUUUAAAAGGGACACAACAUACUGUAUCCCUUGUAUUUCACCAGGAUAAAAGCCUAUAGAUUAAUUCCUGUUAAAACAGUUGGUAUUUUCAGGACAUGCAGAUGUAAUUUAUGGAGAGGCACAAUACUCAUAAUAGCUCAAAGGCCACAGAAACUGUAGAUCUGUGUCUGUUACUGUAGUUGUACAGGCAUUCAUUGUACAGAGAGCAGUUGAAAAGGCAGCGUAUGUAAUCUGAAUACUAAAUUUGUGAAUAGUUUCUCACUUGGGCUGGUUAGGCUUUUCAAGAGCAGCGGAUGCUUUGUGGGGGACUUUGUAAAACAUUCUGCUAAUAUAUCACACAAUGUUGCUGUAUUUUCUUCUCUUAUCUUUACUGUUAGAGCUUUAUUCAUGAAGACGCAAUAUUUGAUUCUUAAAAGGGCACCAGCACCUGAAUUCAGUGUGUUCCAUGAGAGACAAUUUUCACAAUAAAUACUUUUUCCUUCUUCUGUAAAGUGGACAACUUUAGGUAUAUAUAGCCCAAAAGUGUACAAGAAACAAAGAUCCUUGUCCUCACCCCUGUGUAUUCCAAUUGCUAUAUCCAACUUACUUGAAAAAUAGUAUUAUAUUUUCUGGUUUAUUAUCAAUAAUAAAAGU